rnacentral:rRNA from 1 species
AACGGAGGGCGCAAGCGUUGUUCGGAGUAACUGGGUGUAAAGGGCGCGUAGGCGGCCAUGUAAGUCCGGUGUGAAAUCCCUCCGCUUAACGGAGGAAGUGCAUUGGAUACUGCAUGGCUUGAGUACGGGAGAGGGAGAUGGAAUUCCCGGUGUAGAGGUGAAAUUCGUAGAUAUCGGGAGGAACACCCGUGGCGAAGGCGGUCUCCUGGAACGAUACUGACGCUGAGGCGCGAAAGCGUGGGGAGCAAAC